rnacentral:rRNA from 1 species
UACGAGGGGAGCUAGCGUUGUUCGGAAUUACUGGGCGUAAAGGGCGUGUAGGCGGUAUCAUAAGUCAGAUGUGAAAGCCCAGGGCUCAACCUUGGAAUUGCCUUUGAUACUGGCUGUCUUGAGUUCGGGAGAGGUGAGUGGAAUGCCGAGUGUAGAGGUGAAAUUCGUAGAUAUUCGGCGGAACACCAGUGGCGAAGGCGACUCACUGGCCCGAUACUGACGCUGAGGCGCGAAAGCGUGGGGAGCAAACAGG